GACGAACGCUGGCGGCGUGCCUAAUACAUGCAAGUAGAACGCUGAAGAGAGGAGCUUGCUCUUCUUGGAUGAGUUGCGAACGGGUGAGUAACGCGUAGGUAACCUGCCUUGUAGCGGGGGAUAACUAUUGGAAACGAUAGCUAAUACCGCAUAACAAUGGAUGACCCAUGUCAUUUAUUUGAAAGGGGCAAAUGCUCCACUACAAGAUGGACCUGCGUUGUAUUAGCUAGUAGGUGAGGUAACGGCUCACCUAGGCGACGAUACAUAGCCGACCUGAGAGGGUGAUCGGCCACACUGGGACUGAGACACGGCCCAGACUCCUACGGGAGGCAGCAGUAGGGAAUCUUCGGCAAUGGGGGCAACCCUGACCGAGCAACGCCGCGGGAGUGAAGAAGGGUUUCGGAUCGUAAAGCUCUGUUGUAAGUCAAGAACGAGUGUGAGAGUGGAAAGUUCACACUGUGACGGUAGCUUACCAGAAAGGGACGGCUAACUACGUG
rnacentral:rRNA from 1 species